rnacentral:tRNA from 1 species
GCCCGAAUGGCGAAAUCGGUAGACGCAAGGGACUUAAAAUUCCUCGGCCGCAAGGUCGUGCCGGUUCGAGUCCGGCUUCGGGCACCA